UUAUCCUUGGUUUUUAGAGAGAAAAGGGUUUUCAUUAGAUGCUGGAUUUUGAAUGUUCAUCACACCUUUCAUUUCAUAUUGUUUCAUUUCCUCAAGUUAAAUAAAAACUAAUUUACCAAAAAAACCUCCCCAGUUAUUUGUGAUAUUAGGAAUAAAGGUGGCCAAUGUGUGUGUCAGAUAUAGCUAGUCACAUCCAGAACCGUCCACUGUCUCUAAGUAUCUCAGCAACUAGAUGCAGUACAAUUCUAUUGUUUGGUCUAAAUGGCCAUCACUUGAAAUGUUUAGUCAGAUAUGCCACAAUCCCUUUUGUCUUUUGAGUUUUCGUAAAUACUGAGCUUCUUGUUAUUUGUCGAGCAGUCUUCCCUCAACCUGAUGCCUCCUAGUUCAUUUGUCUACAACUUCCAUAAUCUACAACCACCAUGUUGGUCUCAACAUUAAAUUGGCAGAUGUAAAGUUGGAAUGUGACCUCUUACAUAUCUUUGUAUACUUAAGCACAGAAUCUCAGACAUUAAUAACUCAUUUCUAAUAUAUAAGUAAAAGAAAAAGUUUUAAUCAUGAAUUUUAAAAUCACCUCUUGUGUUUACUAUAUUUUAAUCUUUGUUCUAUGUAUUUUAAUAUAAGUAUUAGUAGAAAUAUGAAUUAAUAUGUGUAUUUUAUAAUGUUUUUAUGUUUAUAUGUUUUUAGCUAUAUUAUAACCUGACUCAAGCCACAAGGAGAGGCAGCCUUCUCUUCUGCAGGCCAAACAUGCCCAGCUCUUUAAGCUGCUAUUAUCAUACCUUUUGUGAUGCAAUACUAUUACCUAUAGUAAAACUCAAUAGUAGAAGAGGAAUUUUUUAUGGUAAGUACUGUAUCAUUCUUUGUCUUUUAUUUCUGCUACAUACUUUUCCCUGCUUGUUUAGCAUUUUAAUUUAUAACUUGCAUAUGUACCCACCAUCAGCUGAGUAUUUAUUUUCGAAUGCUAUUUAUCAGAAAUACUCAUUGUUAACUUAAGAAUAGUCCCAUUUGAAAAAUGUAGCAGAAGGGACUUAAAUUUGCAUGAUCAAAUACUUUUUUUUUUACAAUAUAAUUUUAAUUGAUAAAAUAUGAGGAGUGGAGGAGGGCAUAAGAAUGGAUAUAAAGCAAGACAUUUCUAGCAUCUUAUAUUAUUGUCUUCUUCCAUAGUUAUCUAAUACAGAAAAGGUUUUUAUGAUGUUAAAAAGAAGAAAAAGAGGAAGGGAAAAGAAAGAAAGACAUUUCUUACUUAAUCUAAAACCAAAGAAAAGAAAAGUGGGCAUAAAAUAUAUUGAAGCGAGGAUAGAAAAAUUAGGAAAUGGAAAAUAAAGGGCCCUAUAAACACUUCCUGCUCUGUCUCUACUGUCGUCUUCAUAAUCUAAAAGAAAUAGAAUCUAACUUUCUGUCAUGUAUCUUCCUUUUUCUGGUAGAUUAACUUUUUAAUUCUAUGUUUCCAUAUCUAAAUGUUGUUUAUAUCUUAAGUUUAAUAGUCUUAUUGAUUUUAUUGCAUAGUUAUGUUUCUAGUUUAGAUUUUAUGAUUUGGUUUUAUAUAUAUGUUAGGCACUGAAUUUUGCCAUUAUUAUGUUGUAAACUGCUUUAGGUCCCCCCUGGGGUGAGAAAAGUGGUAUAUAAAUACAGUAAAUAAAUAAAUAAAUACCCAAUGUUUUUAUUUUCUUCUCUUCUUUUAAAAAGACAAUGAAAAAUAAUAAAGAGAAUUUCUAUAAAAUGAUGUUCAGCUGGCAUUUAACACCCCUGACCGCUCAUAUAAAAAAUGUAUGAGCUUAUAUCAAGUCAAGUCAAGAUUUAUUCGAUGCUUAGACCACAGGUCUUUCACUUGUCAAAAAUGUGUAAAGUUGCAAAUAAUAGUGUUGGAAAUGUAAAGUCUAUGAAGACUCCUACAACUAUAUGAGAUGGACCUGCAAAAAGGAGACAUUGUGGAGACAAAUUCAUGGGGUAAUCCAGGAACUUAAAACAAGAAUCAACUUCAAGCCAGAACUUACAUUACAAGGACUGUUGUACAAUCAAAUAAAAAGAAACAUGAAAGAAUACUGUAGUACAUGGUAACAGCAGCAAGAAUUUCAUAUGCUCAAAAAUGGAAAGUCACAGAGAUAUCUACUGUAGAAGACUGUAUAGUAAAGAUGUGGGGAAUAAUAGAAAUGGACAGGUUUAUGAUGCUGUUGAGGGAUUAGUGUCUUGGAAGAAUUGAAACCUUUUUACCAAUAUAUAUGUGAGGGAAAGGGAAAGGUGUUAUGUAUAGGUUUGGAAAUAUAAAUCGUUGAGAUAUUUAUUUGUUAAUGUUAAAAUAAGCAAAAGUAAACUAAUGGCGGGACAUAAGUUGGAAGGAAAAUACUAAAUUAUAAAGAAACCGAAAAAAGGAAGCAAGAAAUCCACUUUCAAAAUCAAUUCAUGUAUAUAGGUAAAGGUUUCCCCUUGACAUUAAGUCUAGUCGAGUCCAACUUUGGGGGUUAGCGCUCAUCUAAAUUUCUAAGCUGGCCAGCAAGACUGCAUGGAGCACCGUUAUCUUCCCGCUGAAGUGGUAUCUAUUGAUUUACUCACAUUUUCAUGUUUUUGAAUUGCUAAGUUGGCAGAAGCUGGGGCAAACAGCGGGAGCUCACCCUGUCCCAUGGAUUUGAACUGCUGACCUUCCAGUCUGCAAGUUCUGCAGCUUAGCAGUUUAACCUGCUGUGUCACCUUAUUCAUGUAGUUUAGAGUUAUAUGUAAUUAGAAUAGAGAUAUAUGCUGUGUAGUUUGAUAUGCAAUUGCAGUUAGCUAUAUCUGUGUUUAUGUAUGCAAAAGUGUUAUUGUACAUUUAAUUGUGCCUUUUCUUAUGUUAAGAAUUUAAUUUUUUUUAAAAAAAGGAAAUGGUUGCUAAGAAUGAGCUCACAGCUUUUGGUAUUUCCCUUAUUAAGAGAACAUUUUAAACAAAUAGUAGGCCAGAUAUUAAAAGUGGGUCUCCCUGCC